GAAAGUUUCAACUCCCAUAGAGGUAUGAUAGUUUGCCAUGAUUAACACAAUCUUAUUAAUAAGAAGCCUUAUAAAAUAAAAAAUUGAUUGACUGUUAGAUCCAAAGUUUGAGGCCCUUGUAUGCAUGUAUAUUUUCUGGAUUGACGGUACUAAUGGCAGAUAGUUUGGUGAAGACUGGCUUGAACUCCUGGGCUUGUCUUUGAUCCAGACUGGCUAGAUGUUCGUAAUUCAAUCAUGGAAUAGCAGAGACUAGAUUCUUCAUUAAAUAAUUUAGUAUUGAAUAUAUGUAUAAAAUGCGUGCAAGUUCAUUUUAAUUAUAUGUAUAUAUGUAUAAAUGCGUGCAAGUUGAUUAUGUUAGCUUGCAUGUGGCAAGUGCAGACUUGUUUUUUUUUUUUUUUUUUU
rnacentral:misc_RNA from 1 species